rnacentral:rRNA from 1 species
AGCGUGGUUAAUAUUGCACAAUGGGGGAAACCCUGAUGCAGCAACGCCGCGUGAGUGAUGAAGGUCUUCGGAUUGUAAAGCUCUGUCUUUAGGGACGAUAAUGACGGUACCUAAGGGCGAAGCCCCGGCUAACUACGUGCCAGCCGCCGCGGCAAUACGUAGGUGGCAAGCGUUAUCCGGAUUUACUGGGCGUAAAGGGAGCUUACGGGGAUACUUAAGUGGGAUGUGAAAUACCCGAGCUUAACUUGAGUGCUGCAUUCCAAACUGGGUAUCUUGAGUGCAGGAUACGAGAAUGGAAUUCCUAGUGUAGCGGUGAAAUGCGUAGAGAUUAAGAAGAACACCAGUGAGCGAAGGCGAUUCUCUGGACUGUAACUGACGCUCAUG